AAAUAUGUAAAGUUAAGCUUCUAACUUAAUAAAAAGCAUAAAUAUGUUUAUAUUUCUA
rnacentral:tRNA from 1 species